rnacentral:misc_RNA from 1 species
UUUUUGUCAUUUUGACAAAUUAAGGUACUUUUAAAUACAUUUUAGCCAAACACUUGCACUACUUAAAAGUUAAUUUCAAAUAGUUUUACCAAACAAUUAACUACUUAUUUUUAAAUUGAUUUAUAAGUUAAAAAAUAUUUUUAAGUCAAAAGUUCAAAGUAAGUAACCAAGCCAAGCAUUCUCUUAGCAGUCAGCCUGUGCAAUAUUGGCUACAAAAUUGUAAGAAAAAUGGGAUUUAUUUUUUGAUAAGAUUGAAUCAGGUGUCAGUUAUGUAGGAUAGCUCAAUGAUGUAGAUUUAAAUCUGUUACCUUUUUGUAUUCAACCCUCUGCUUAUGAUAGCAUAUGCUUUAUUUCACUGUUAGGUGAACAACUGAACAUAUAGAGCAUUCAAGCUUUUUAUCUCAACUAGUUCGAUUGGCUACAUGUGUCCUUUUUUUUACAUUUUUUUCCUUUCAGGCCAGUUUUUCUAUAGGCUGUUGGGAUGCUAAAUCAUUUUUAUCCAACUAACUCAGUUUCAUUUUUUGGAAUUUAGAUUGUGUGUGUACUUUAUUUGAACUCCUUCCUACAUCACCUUGUUAUUGUAAAAUAGUUCUGGUUGAGAAAGAAAUGAAUAGGGAAUGGUGAGGCCACAUGUAUGAUUCACUUGUAAGCUCCCAAUAAUUGCCCUUGUCGCAUCAAGUUUGCUGUUUAUAUGAAUGAGAAUUGUAUAAUUGCUUAUUGUCAUUGGUCAUUGAUGUCAUUAGCUAAAGAAACAUCCCAAACACUGUUACUUUUUUAUAUCAUUGAGUUCUGAGCUUAUGAGUGGGAGACCUUGAAUUAUGAAUGUUUUGUUAUUUUAUAUACGUGUCUUUAUUUAUUUUUUUAUUGUCCAUGUAUACAUUAUUUGUUUGCUCAUUUCUGUAGCGAUAGGCUUUUAUUCUUUUAGACCUUUUGAUGAAGAGAAACAACAGUACUAGGGAUGCUUUCAAUUAAAAGACCCCCCCUUUUUUUCUUUUGUGUGUGGAGGAGAGAAAAGAAG